rnacentral:tRNA from 1 species
GCGGGUGUGGCGGAAUUGGCAGACGCACUAGACUUAGGAUCUAGCGCCUUCGGCGUGGGGGUUCAAGUCCCUCCACCCGCA